GAUGAACGCUGGCGGCGUGCCUAAUACAUGCAAGUCGAGCGAACGGACGAGAAGCUUGCUUCUCUGAUGUUAGCGGCGGACGGGUGAGUAACACGUGGAUAACCUACCUAUAAGACUGGGAUAACUUCGGGAAACCGGAGCUAAUACCGGAUAAUAUUUUGAACCGCAUGGUUCAAAAGUGAAAGACGGUCUUGCUGUCACUUAUAGAUGGAUCCGCGCUGCAUUAGCUAGUUGGUAAGGUAACGGCUUACCAAGGCAACGAUGCAUAGCCGACCUGAGAGGGUGAUCGGCCACACUGGAACUGAGACACGGUCCAGACUCCUACGGGAGGCAGCAGUAGGGAAUCUUCCGCAAUGGGCGAAAGCCUGACGGAGCAACGCCGCGUGAGUGAUGAAGGUCUUCGGAUCGUAAAACUCUGUUAUUAGGGAAGAACAUAUGUGUAAGUAACUGUGCACAUCUUGACGGUACCUAAUCAGAAAGCCACGGCUAACUACGUGCCAGCAGCCGCGGUAAUACGUAGGUGGCAAGCGUUAUCCGGAAUUAUUGGGCGUAAAGCGCGCGUAGGCGGUUUUUUAAGUCUGAUGUGAAGCCCACGGCUCAACCGUGGAGGGUCAUUGGAAACUGGAAAACUUGAGUGCAGAAGAGGAAAGUGGAAUUCCAUGUGUAGCGGUGAAAUGCGCAGAGAUAUGGAGGAACACCAGUGGCGAAGGCGACUUUCUGGUCUGUAACUGACGCUGAUGUGCGAAAGCGUGGGGAUCAAACAGGAUUAGAUACCCUGGUAGUCCACGCCGUAAACGAUGAGUGCUAAGUGUUAGGGGGUUUCCGCCCCUUAGUGCUGCAGCUAACGCAUUAAGCACUCCGCCUGGGGAGUACGACCGCAAGGUUGAAACUCAAAGGAAUUGACGGGGACCCGCACAAGCGGUGGAGCAUGUGGUUUAAUUCGAAGCAACGCGAAGAACCUUACCAAAUCUUGACAUCCUUUGACAACUCUAGAGAUAGAGCCUUCCCCUUCGGGGGACAAAGUGACAGGUGGUGCAUGGUUGUCGUCAGCUCGUGUCGUGAGAUGUUGGGUUAAGUCCCGCAACGAGCGCAACCCUUAAGCUUAGUUGCCAUCAUUAAGUUGGGCACUCUAAGUUGACUGCCGGUGACAAACCGGAGGAAGGUGGGGAUGACGUCAAAUCAUCAUGCCCCUUAUGAUUUGGGCUACACACGUGCUACAAUGGACAAUACAAAGGGCAGCGAAACCGCGAGGUCAAGCAAAUCCCAUAAAGUUGUUCUCAGUUCGGAUUGUAGUCUGCAACUCGACUACAUGAAGCUGGAAUCGCUAGUAAUCGUAGAUCAGCAUGCUACGGUGAAUACGUUCCCGGGUCU
rnacentral:rRNA from 1 species